rnacentral:rRNA from 1 species
UUGCUCUUCAACGAGGAAUUCCUAGUAAGCGUAAGUCAUCAGCUUGCGUUGAUUACGUCCCUGCCCUUUGUACACACCGCCCGUCGCUACUACCGAUUGAAUGGCUUAGUGAGGUCUUGAGAUUGGCUUCGGGGAGCCGGCAACGGCACCCUGUUGCUGAGAACUUGAUCAAACUUGGUCAUUUAGAGGAAGUAAAAGUCGUAACAAGGUUUCCGUAGGUGAACCUGCGGAAGGAUCAUUAAUGAAUUUUAAUGGGUGGGGUUGUCGCUGGCCUACUUGUAGGCAUGUGCACGCUUCGCUUCAUUCCAUCCUUCAUACCACUGUGCACUUCUCAUAGGUCGGAUUGCAGAGCUGCUUUAUUGCGGCAAUGAGGUCCUUCCUAUGUGUUUUACAAUAAACUUUGUCUGUCUUAGAAUGUUAAUGUCAUGCAUGAAUGCAUAUAUAAUACAACUUUCAGCAACGGAUCUCUUGGCUCUCGCAUCGAUGAAGAACGCAGCGAAAUGCGAUAAGUAAUGUGAAUUGCAGAAUUCAGUGAAUCAUCGAAUCUUUGAACGCACCUUGCGCUCCUUGGUAUUCCGAGGAGCAUGCCUGUUUGAGUGUCAUGGUAUUCUCAAUUCACCUGUAUUUUUGUUUAAAUGCAGUUUGAAUUGGAUGUGGAGGUGUGCCGGUGUCUCUUGGACAUUGGCUCCUCUUAAAUGCAUUAGCUUGAAUAUUACUGAGCACAUAUCAGCGUGAUAAAUGUCUACGUUGUAUGUGAUUGGUAUUUUUUAUUGUUCUGGCCUCAAAUCGUCUCUCUGGAGACAAUUGACUUUGAACAUCUGACCUCAAAUCAGGUAGGACUACCCGCUGAACUUAAGCAUAUCAAUAAGCGGAGGA